rnacentral:lncRNA from 1 species
AUGGCGGCUCCGUCUCCUGCUGUCCCCAAAGUUUGUGCUGGGCUGUCCACCCAAAGUCAAGUCUCCUUGCAGAUUUCUACCAUCACCAUCCCCUUCAGGACCUGUGAUGGCAAAGUCCAGUCCAGGUCAUCCUGUGGGCCUGUACGGAGAAGAGAGUGGAACUGGAACCAACAGUCAAGAGCAGGCAGACAAGUAAGUGCCAUCUCGUGUGAUGGGAGGCCACAGGUGUUGGGGGGAGGGUAGCACUGAUCUCCUGUUAGCUGUAGCGCUAUUUCAGAUGGUGUGGAAAUCCCUACCCUGAGUGUCUAAGAGGGGAAUUUCCGGGAACGUCGGGGGCACUCCCUGGGCACUGCUUAUGAACCCCAUGGCUGAGAUGCUAGGUCUACCACCAAUUCUUGACUAGUCAGUGGCAUCUUUUUCCAGUCCCUAUUGGUGUUCCUCUGUUUCCUGUGGGUGCCACUGUUACAGACACCUUGACUUUAUUAGACUGUCAGAUUUCAAAAAGAACCGAUGUUGACAUUUUCACGUCAAGGUUUUGAUCUGUCUUAUCCUUUGGAAAACCUUUGCCAGACCAGGCAGAAGCAGGAUGGACUAGAUGGGACGGUCAAACACAACCUUCAGGAAUCCAAAGAUUGUGGGAGAUUGCUCAUGUGCUUUUUAUCUCGGGUGUGAGAUCGUGGAUUUGGAUGUGAUUUAAGACCGGGUCUAAGUGGGAAACGGGGGAGAAGGUGAGACCCGUCCACCAAGUGGGUGCCAGACAAUGGCAAUCUGCCAGUCUACCCCGGUUGUGGGUGGGUGAGCAUUUAUGUAGCAGUGGUCCUGCAGGCAUAGUCUAGCAAUUGAAGUAAUGAAUAGGUCCGUACUUGUUCACGCCCUUACCCCUCCGAACAUUGUUGGCCACUUUGUUGCCUAGCAGAUGUUGCUGAGACCAGACGUUGUGUUUCGUGGACAAUAGAUUUCUGGUAUCUGAGUGAGAAAGACCCUUGGCCCUUUCUAGCUCUCAUCUUUGAGCUUGAGUUUCCACAGAUGGAGAUGGGGAGCACACCUUGCUAUCAGGUAUGUUGUGAGAAUCAAGUGUGAUGAUCCUUGUAAGUGCUCGGCAUGCAGCGGGUCCUGAAGGAAGUAGCUGAGGACUUCCAGAAUCCAUAGAUUAGAGCAGACCCUUGUGGCUUGGUUGAGGUCCUCUCCCUCCCUGUGAGCCCCCGCUUCCACUUCAGUUCUUGAGACC